rnacentral:tRNA from 13 species
UGUCAGAAGUGGAUUGAACCCACGCCCACAUUGUGGACCAGAACUCUCAACACUCUGCGACAGAGCAAGGGAACCCUUGAGUCUGGCGCCUUAGACCGCUCGGCCAUCCUGAC